AUACGUAGGGGGCGAGCGUUGUCCGGAAUGACUGGGCGUAAAGCGCGCGCAGGCGGCCCGGUAAGUCGGGAGUGAAAGUCCUGCGUUCAAGGUGGGAAUUGCUUUGGAUACUGCAGGGCUAGAGUGCAGGAGAGGUUAUCGGAAUUCCCGGUGUAGCGGUGAAAUGCGUAGAGAUCGGGAGGAACACCAGUGGCGAAGGCGCGUAUCUCGGCUACAACUGACGCUCCGGCGCGAAAAAGUGGGGAUCAAACAGGAUUUGAGACCCUCGUAUUCCCCGCUGUAAACGAGGAGUGCUAGGUGUAAGAGGUAUCCAGCCCAUUCGUGCCGGAGUCAACACAAUAAGCAUUCCGCCUGGGGACUACGGUCGCAAGGCUGAAACUCAAAGGAAUUGACGGGG
rnacentral:rRNA from 1 species